rnacentral:rRNA from 1 species
UACGUAGGGGGCGAGCGUUGUCCGGAUUCAUUGGGCGUAAAGCGCUUUAAGGCGGUUCGGUAAGUCGGGUGUGAAACCUCCAGGCUCAACCUGGAGACGCCACUCGAUACUGCUGUGACUAGAGUUCGGUAGGGGAUCACGGAAUUCCCGGUGUAGCGGUGAAAUGCGUAGAGAUCGGGAGGAACACCAGUGGCGAAGGCGGCUACCUGGACCAGCACUGACACUGAGGCACGAAAGCGUGGGGAGCAAACAGG